AACGAACGCUGGCAGCGUGGAUUAGGCAUGCAAGUCGAACGGGAUCCGGAAGGUAGCAAUACCGGCCGGUGAGAGUGGCGGAAGGGCGAGGAGCACGUGGACAACCUGUCCCGUGGGUGGGGAUACCGUCCCGAAAGGGGCGUUAAUACCGAAUGGCGCCCCGGCCCGCAUGGUCCGGCGGCCAAAGGCGGGGACCGCAAGGCCCGCCCCCCCGGGAGGGCUCCGCGCACCUACAGCUAGACGGCGGGGUAACGGCCCACCGUGGCUUACGGUUAGCUGGUCUGAGAGGACGAUCAGCCGCACUGGGACUGAGACACUGCCCAGACUCCUACGGGAGGCAGCAGUCGGGAAUCUUUCGCAAUGGGCGAAAGCCUGGCGAUGCGACGCUGCGUGGAGGAUGAAGGCCCUCGGAUCGUAAACUCCUGUCAUGGGGGGAGAGGCGGAGGCGAUUAAAGGCCGCACGACUUGACGGUACCCCAAGAGGAAGCCACGGCUAACUAUGUG
rnacentral:rRNA from 1 species